rnacentral:misc_RNA from 1 species
AAAGUCGUAACAAGGUUUCCGUAGGUGAACCUGCGGAAGGAUCAUUAUAGAGUAAUGGAGAGUUGUGGGCCCUCUUUUGGGCCCUCAGCUCUUUAUCCUUCUUACCCCCUGAUAUAUAUUUCUUAGUUGCUUUGGUAGAAUGCUUAGCCUUCUGCCAAGGGACCCUUAUAAACACUUUGUUAUCCAAUAAUUGGUUUGUCUCUUGUCUGAUUUUUAUGAUUUUUAAUAAAAAUAUAAAACUUUCAACAACGGAUCUCUUGGUUCUG